GAGUUGCAGAGUAUCUGAUCUACUUCCAAGGUUUUGGAUCAGAUUUAGGCAGUAGAUACCUUAAAAAUGUUUGAGAAAAAGGACAGUAGAGUGAAAAGUGCAGCUGCAACCAAUCUCUCAUUCCUGUAUUAUCUGAAUUGAAUGAUGCUGAUGUCAAGUCUGAAUCUCCAGAACUGUGAGCUAAAUUAACCUUUUCCUUUGUAAAAAACUCAGCCUCUAUUAUGACAUUGCAGCAACAGAAACAGACUAAUAAAUUUACUUUCAUUGCAUAUUAUAAAUUGCUGUAAUUACAAAAUACAUCAUACUGAUUAUAUCUAAAAAGUCAGAAAUCAAUUUUACUUUUUAAAUACUUUUGUAUUAUACUCAAAUAAAUUUAAUCUAUUAUUUAUAAGGUAUAGUAAGCUUGAACUCUAAUACACAGUAUAUCAUUAAAAAUUAAACCUUGUUCACCCUCUCAUUUGGUGUUCCCAUGACUAAGAGUUUAUGCUACCAACAGAAACUUUUGUAUUUCAGUAUAUACAAAGGUAGUCUCAGGAUCCACAAAAAAUAGUGGACCUGACACAAUGUUUCUUAGCUAAGGCCUUUACCAUAACACAUAAACAAAUUUAUAAAGGUUGAUUGUUUUGCUGCUUCGGUCAAAUUGUUUGCUUCCCAUAAAGAACUCCUUAGACCAAUGUCUUCAAGACAUCCCUUAUAUAUAACACCACAGGGAACCACUUCUGCACUCCCAAUUUGGUGUGUGUAUGUAUGUGCAUGUUCACUUUUUUGUUUUUUUGAAGUGGGGCCACUACAGAUUGGAAAGGCAUGCAAGGGUUGUUUGUUUCCCACAAACCAGUCAUCUUGCUGUGAGAAAAGGGAAGCUCCCAACUCAAGCUUCUGUAAAAAUGCACUGAUUGGCACUCUGCUGACUUGUUGAUCUUAAGCACAGCUAGCAGAAGCCUGAUUGUAAUUAUUCUUUUUCCUGCUCUCUCUGUAUAUAUCAGGUGCAGCAAGCAGGACUCUCAGGGAUGUGCUGUUUAGUAUCAAAACCCAACAGAGUUGGAGAGUUCUCCUUCCUCAUUCACUGGUAGGCAAGGAGAUACACUUAACAUGGCUAAGUUGUUUCCAAGCCAAGUCAAACAUGGCAGAGCUCAUGAUUGGAGACUAGCCAAGUGCUCAUAGUGGGUGGUCAAUGCACAUUUGUCUAUUUUAA